rnacentral:lncRNA from 1 species
UUUGAAGAAGGUUGAUCAAUUUAUAUGUAUAUAUAUAGAAUUGACAAUUUUAAUAGUCAAUGUGAUGUGCUUGUAAAUUUAACAGUAUAAAACAAUAUAAAUCUGAUAAAAUUUUUAUAAUUUUUUUUUUCAUUAUUUAGAGUAAGACCGGUACCUCUGAUCUUAAAUUUAAGUCUUUUACCAUCAUAUUUUAUGAGAUUUUUAUUUUCAGCCGUUCAUUUUUAGAUUACUCAUUUGAUAGAUAAAUGAUAUCAAAAAAUUAUAAAAUUUAUUUCCAACAGUAUAGAUCAAGUCUAAUAAAAUCGAUCAUCAAUUCGAAAGCUACAUCAUCGAAACAACUUGACAGCACGGAGGCCUCCGUGCUACUGAUAAUAUAGCAACC